GAAUUUUACGUCUAUAGGAUAUGCGAGUAGAAGUGUCCAGUAAGCAGUUCAUGUACAUACUUCUGAAUGUCGGCAAAGAGGUCUAAGCUAAAAUCAUUCAUUUGUAACUCAUCAACAUGUGCUCACUAUGAGUAACAAGUUAAGAAAAUGCUCUCACUUGGGGAAAGUAGGAAGAAAGCUUGAGGAGAUGAGCGAAGAAGGGCAGAUGAGUGAAGAAGGGUCAGAUAGAAGAUGCAGGCAGGAAGGAAGCUUGUCAGUGGUCGGAGGAGGACCAGGUGAGUGUGCCACUGAGGAGGCCAAGAAAGUUGAAAUUUUCAAGAUGAGAGAGAAUGGUCAAUGGCGGCCAGUGUCACAAAGAAUCCAAGUAAGGGAAGACCAGAAACAUGUCCACAGGAUUUGGCAGGUGAGCCUUGCCACAGCAAUUUCAGCUAAGUAAUGAGAACAGAAGCCUGGCUGAGAGAGAUUAAGAACGGACUUUACUGGAAGUGUCUUCAUGAUCCCAGAGACCUCACACCAGCUUCCCCAGCCCUUAGCCUCCCCCUCAAAUUGAGCACAAUACAGAUAAUCAUCUAUUGCUCCCAAUGGAGAGCAUCCACAGUUCUCAGUUAUACCCACGUGGCAGCAGGCCCUGAGGCUGACCCGGGUACUUGUUGGUCUUCCUGACCAUGGGAACACAAAACCAUAGUCAGAUUUAUCUUCGUUUUCCCAGAAAUUGGAACGUAGAAGAUGCUUGCUUGUAUCUGCCCACAAAAGGGACUAUCUGUGGCUGAUUUAUCAGAGAGGAAUUUAUUCAAAGGAUGUUGGGUGAUUCCCAGAGUCUCCAGGAAGCUAGAUCUGUGUGGCCAAAAACAAGGCCCCAAAUAGCGCCGAGUGGGGUCACCCCUGCAGAACAGAUGCUGCCCUGGCACCACCAACACCACCGCCACCUCCUCAGCUGCCUUGACUGUCCUCAGGAGCCAGCUGUGCUGCUGCUAAGAAACAGCUUUUUCUCUUCCCCAUCUGCGCUGUACUACCUCCCUCCCAAUUAAAAAUCCAGGGCAUGUGCCCAGGCCUACCUGCAAGGGAAAAUGGAAAUGUGGAUAUCUAGCACUAUCAGCUUCUACCAGGAGAUGGCCUCUUGCCCAAAAAGACUUACAAGGUAAAGAGUUUCUCCAUGAGACAGGGUUCAAAUUCUCGGCAGCCAGAAAUAUCACAUGGCCAAUCGUUACUACACCUACUUCUGAACAUUGACUGGAGUCCAAACUGUGUGAUAUUUGGUUUUCUUAGGGCUUACUACAGCAGCUGAAAAUGACAGUGCUCAAUAUCUGUUUGUUGGAAUUAGAAUUAAAAAAAAGAACAGUGAA